rnacentral:rRNA from 1 species
GUGGAUUAGAUACCCUGGUAGUCCACGCCGUAAACGAUGGAUACUAGCUGUUGGGAGUAAUCUCAGUGGCUAAGCGAAAGUGAUAAGUAUCCCACCUGGGGAGUACGAACGCAAGUUUGAAACUCAAAGGAAUUGACGGGGGCCCGCACAAGCGGUGGAGCAUGUGGUUUAAUUCGAUGAUACGCGAGGAACCUUACCAAGGCUUAAAUGUAGAUUGACGUAUUUGGAAACAGAUAUUUCUUCGGACAAUUUACAAGGUGCUGCACGGUCGUCGUCAGCU